rnacentral:rRNA from 1 species
AGGGCACCACCAGGCGUGGAGCCUGCGGCUUAAUUUGACUCAACACGGGGAAACUCACCAGGUCCAGACAAAAUAAGGAUUGACAGAUUGAGAGCUCUUUCUUGAUCUUUUGGAUGGUGGUGCAUGGCCGUUCUUAGUUGGUGGAGUGAUUUGUCUGCUUAAUUGCGAUAACGAACGAGACCUCGUCCCUUAAAUAGCCCGGUCCGCAUUUGCGGGCCGCUGGCUUCUUAGGGGGACUAUCGGCUUAAGCCGAUGGAAGUGCGCGGCA